rnacentral:lncRNA from 1 species
AUGCACUUUACAACUACAGCAAUGGUUAAACUACUCUACAACUUCUCUGAUUGGCAAACAGCCCCGUCUAAGCACUUGCGCCCACCUCCUCUGUCCUUUCCUCUGGGACAUUCCUUUUUCCAAAAUCCAGCAGCUAAUGGGUUGGUGUCUGACACUUCAGGAGGCUUCCCAGGCCUUGAUCUUACACUGAGCUGGUUAGUUGGUUCCCAAUUCAGUGUUCACUGUGCCCUUGACUCAAAGGUGGCGCAGAUUAUCGAACUUCCCCUAUUGCCAGAAACUAGAAAGAACUUGUGGUGAAUUUCCCAGAUGGAGACCACUACAGAGGGGCUCUGAGCAGGAUUGAACAUUAACCAAUUGGAUUUUCAUGUUUAUUUGUGAGUCCAUCCAAGGCCUAGGCCCCUUGUCUGGAGACGAGCAGCAGAUUCCUAGUAAGUGAAACUUUGUGAAUCACUAGUCCCGACUGAGGAGUGUAAGGGUGGGUAAAGCCGGAACACCUCAAAGGACAAGAGAGGCCACAGCUAAGGACCCCUGGCUCCAACAACUACCUAGAUAAAGACUGUAGCUGCAGGCAUCUCAGUCCUGGGUGGAGACCUUCCUGAAGAUAACAUAGUUCUCCUAAAUUAAUGUAAUGUA